GGUUCAGGAUGAACGCUGGCGGCGUGCCUAACACAUGCAAGUCGAACGAAGCACUUAGACAGAACCUUCGGGUGACGUAUUGGUGACUGAGUGGCGGACGGGUGAGUAACGCGUGGGUAACCCGCCCUGUACAAGGGGAUAACAGUUAGAAAUGACUGCUAAUACCGCAUAAGCGCACGAUGGUAGCAUUACCAGGUGUGAAAAACUCCGGUGGUACAGGAUGGGCCCGCGUCUGAUUAGCUAGUUGGCGGGUAAGAGCCCACCAAGGCGACGAUCAGUAGCCGGUCUGAGAGGAUGAACGGCCACAUUGGAACUGAGACACGGUCCAAACUCCUACGGGAGGCAGCAGUGGGGAAUAUUGCACAAUGGGGGGAACCCUGAUGCAAGCAACGCCGCGUGAGUGAAGAAGUAUUUCGGUAUGUAAAGCUCUAUCAGCAGGGAAGAUAAUGACGGUACCUGACUAAGAAGCUCCGGCUAAAUACGUGCCAGCCGCCGC
rnacentral:rRNA from 1 species